rnacentral:rRNA from 1 species
AACGAACGCUGGCGGCAUGCCUAACACAUGCAAGUCGAACGAGACCUUCGGGUCUAGUGGCGCACGGGUGCGUAACGCGUGGGAACCUGCCCUUAGGUUCGGAAUAACUCCCCGCAAGGGGUGCUAAUACCGGAUAAUGUCUUCGGACCAAAGAUUUAUCGCCUUUGGAUGGGCCCGCGUUGGAUUAGCUAGUUGGUAGGGUAAAAGCCUACCAAGGCGACGAUCCAUAGCUGGUCUGUGAGGAUGAUCAGCCACACUGGGACUGAGACACGGCCCAGACUCCUACGGGAGGCAGCAGUGGGGAAUAUUGGACAAUGGGCGAAAGCCUGAUCCAGCAAUGCCGCGUGAGUGAUGAAGGCCUUAGGGUUGUAAAGCUCUUUUACCCGGGAUGAUAAUGACAGUACCGGGAGAAUAAGCUCCGGCUAACUCCGUG